rnacentral:rRNA from 1 species
UACGUAGGGGGCGAGCGUUGUUCGGAUUCAUUGGGCGUAAAGGGUGCGUAGGCGGCGCGGUAAGUCGGGUGUGAAAUUUCGGAGCUUAACUCCGAAACUGCAUUCGAUACUGCCGUGCUUGAGGACUGGAGAGGAGACUGGAAUUUACGGUGUAGCAGUGAAAUGCGUAGAGAUCGUAAGGAAGACCAGUGGCGAAGGCGGGUCUCUGGACAGUUCCUGACACUGAGGCACGAAGGCCAGGGGAGCAAAACGGGG